rnacentral:rRNA from 1 species
AGCAGCCGCGGUAAUUCCAGCUCCAAUAGCGUAUAUUAAAGUUGUUGCAGUUAAAAAGCUCGUAGUUGAAUUUCGGGAUCAAUGUUUCGGUCAUGCCCUUGGUAUGUACUGAUAUUAUUGGUUUCUCACCUUCUAAAGAACCGUAAUGCCAUUAAUUUGGUGUCACGGGGAAUUAGGACUGUUACCUUGAAAAAAUUACAGUGUUUAAAGCAGGCUCACGCUUGAAUACAUUAGCAUGGAAUAAUGAAAUAGGACAUCCGAUUCUAUUUUGUUGGUUUCUAGGAUCGAUGUAAUGAUUAAUAGGGAUAGUUGGGGGCAUUAGUAUUCAAUUGUCAGAGGUGAAAUUCUUGGAUUUAUUGAAGACUAACUACUGCGAAAGCAUUUGCCAAGGAUGUUUUCAUUAAUCAAGAACGAAAGUUAGGGGAUCGAAGACGAUCAGAUACCGUCGUAGUCUUAACCAUAAACUAUGCCGACUAGGGAUCGGAUGAUGUUAAUUUCUUAAUGACUCA